UACGUAGGGUGCAAGCGUUGUCCGGAAUUAUUGGGCGUAAAGAGCUCGUAGGCGGUUUGUUGCGUCGGCUGUGAAAUCCCGAGGCUCAACCUCGGGUCUGCAGUCGAUACGAGCAAACUAGAGUGUUGCAGGGGAGACUGGAAUUCCUGGUGUAGCGGUGAAAUGCGCAGAUAUCAGGAGGAACACCGGUGGCGAAGGCGGGUCUCUGGGCAACAACUGGCGCUGAGGAGCGAAAGCGUGGGGAGCGAACAGG
rnacentral:rRNA from 1 species